rnacentral:lncRNA from 1 species
AGUAUUGCUCCAUGCCUGGCAGCUGCCUGGAGGGUGGGGCGUCUGUCUCCUUUGCUGGGGGAGAUAACAGCAUGACAUUAGCACCAGUGAGUGCCACCAGCUGCUCAUGUGGGCUUGCCUGCUUCUCUCUGCAGCUCUUGUGGCUGCAUCUUGUUUUCUGUAGUCCCAUGAGCUCCGAUGAGCAGGAAGGACCUCUUUGAUCUGUGAGGACUGGGGAGCAGGCUAAGUUCCCUGGGCACCCAUGUCCCGAGCACACUUGUAAGAGGCUGGACUUGGUCUUGGUCUUGGGGAGUAAGGCUUUGGAUCAUUCAGAAUGAGGCAGCAUUUGACAUCAAAGUGGUCACCUCCACAGCCGGUUUGUCCUGCUUAAUACUCAGAAGGAAGCAGAGGGACCAUCAGCCACCCGCAGAGAGCCUAUGGUCUACCUCCUAUGAAAGAAUGCACGAGCAGGUGAGAAGGAGACAAGGAACAUCAGUACACCACCUCUCACACUAGAGAUGCUCCACCUCCAACAUACUCAGCUGACUCUGCUGACUCCCUGGAUCUUCCUGAGCUGAUCCAGCCAGCUAAAGCACUUCCAUGUUCUCUGGGGUCUCAUUUUACCACCACUGAGGAAUCCUGGAAGGUUUCACCACGCCAGGAUUAAGUGGAAACCAGAAGCUGGUGGCUGGCUGCGAUGUGCAUCGUAGGCACAGUGGUCGGCUGCUUGCUCCAAUCCAGCCUCCAAAGGACGAGGGAAACCUUGGAAGUCACAGAACAAGAAAAGGACCUUCGACUCUUCUUGUGUUUUGCAUACUGGGAGUUGGGAAGAUGUCUGACACCUUUUUCUUUUACUGGCUAAAUACCAAGAGUAAGCCAGACAUUUAUGGUAAAUGGCCUCUUCACCAAGAGCAAAAAGACUUUUCAGCUUAACACAGUAAAACAAGGAAAGGAAGACAGGGCUGAUGGCUAAUGAGAGUCUGUGGAGAGACAUGUGGGUUCAAGAUAAUCCCACAGGGACUGACCUGUUCUCUGCCCAUCUUCACUGUGACUCUUGCUAAUGACAGAAAUGUAAAUUUGGGGUCCACGGGUCACAUCCAAAAGCAAGCCUGCCACUCUUACAAUUGAGAGCUCAUUUCCAGGAGCAGGGGAUAUUAUUUCAUUCCUGUAGGGAUGUCUCAGACCUUUGAGCUGACUACUUCCUGUCUUAACUUUGAAGGAAGUGGCUGACACAUAAAACCAUUUCUUAGUGGUUUUAAUAAAUGUUCUAUUUUCCCCCACACAAUGGGAACUGGUUACCUCUCCAAAUUUCACUUCGAGCAUCUUUAAGAACACAGAACUUGGCUUUCGGUCCACAUGUUAGUGCCUCCAAAUGUUAGAGGGUCUCUGAAGGCUCCGACCCUUCUCAUCUGUCAGUGUCUUGGAAAAGCGUGUUGUUACACUGAUCUCCCUGGAAUCUCAGAGGACAAAUGAAAGAUGUGUUGAGAUUGGAGGACUCAAGGCAGUGAGUGCCAAGGGGUUGUUUUCUGCUUUCCACGUCUCCAGGGGAUGUGAUAGACUUGCCAGAGUUCCAAGUUCGGACAUCUGGACUCGGCCCCCGAUUUUGUGGCUGGCUAAGACAUACAGUUAUUUGUUUUGUUUCUCAUCUGUAAAAUGGGAGCAAAUGAAGCCUGUUACUUGCUGGACACUCCCAUGGAAGAGAGUAGACAAAAAGCUAUUUUCAGACUUUCAGUCCCAAGAAGACAUUUCAGCUAAUAAUUUGUACCCUUGAAAUAAAAGGUAAAAGGAAAAUGUUUUGUACC